AAAAUUCUGUGAUUGAAAAAUUGUACCUUUUACGAGAUAUGGAUUUCAAGUGAAAUUACGAAAAUUUUAUUCCGGGCUGGAUACACUGGAUAAGAAUAUUGGAUAUUGGGAUCCCAGGUACCGGACAUCCUCUUCUACGACUUCUUUAUUUCCUGAGACAGUGACUUCGUAGUGAACUUUGUAUUGCUCCAUGUAAACGUCAGAUAUUAAAAGUCUAGCCGCG